AACAAACGCUGGCGGCGUGCCUAAUACAUGCAAGUCGAACGGGGAAAGCUUUCGGGUGAGUACUAGUGGCGCACGGGUGAGUAACGCGUGGAUAAUCUGCCUUAGAGUGGGGGAUAACGAAUCGAAAGAUUCGCUAAUACCGCAUAAGACCACAAGAACUGCGGUUCAAGAGGUCAAAGGUUUUUCGCUCUAAGAUGAGUCCGCGUAAGAUUAGCUAGUUGGUGAGGUAAUGGCUCACCAAGGCAACGAUCUUUAACUGGUCUGAGAGGAUGAUCAGUCACACUGAAACUGAGACACGGUCCAGACUCCUACGGGAGGCAGCAGUAGGGAAUAUUGCACAAUGGAGGAAACUCUGAUGCAGCGACGCCGCGUGAGUGAUGAAGGCCUUCGGGUCGUAAAGCUCUGUCGCAGGGGAAUAACACAAUGAAUGUACCCUGUAAGAAAGGAUCGGCUAACUUCGUGCCAGCCGCCGCCGUAACAC
rnacentral:rRNA from 1 species